rnacentral:rRNA from 1 species
UGGAGGCAGCAGUGGGGAAUAUUGGACAAUGGGGGAAACCCUGAUCCAGCGACGCCGCGUGUGUGAAGAAGGCCUGCGGGUUGUAAAGCACUUUUAGUGGGGAUGAAAUGUUCAGGGUUAAUACCCCUGGAUCUUGACCUAACCCAAAGAAAAAGCACCGGCUAACUCUGUGCCAGCAGCCGCGGUAAUACAGAGGGUGCAAGCGUUAAUCGGAAUUACUGGGCGUAAAGCGUGCGUAGACGGUUAUGUAAGUCGGGUGUGAAAGCCCCGGGCUCAACCUGGGAAUUGCAUUCGAUACUGGAUAGCUAGGGUACGGAAGAGGGAAGCGGAAUUUCAGGUGUAGCGGUGAAAUGCGUAGAUAUCUGAAGGAACACCAGUGGCGAAAGCGGCUUCCUGGUCCAGUACCGACGUUCAGGCACGAAAGCGUGGGGAGCAAACAGGAUUAGAUACCCCUGUAGUCC